rnacentral:pre_miRNA from 1 species
UCUUAUGCAUGAGCAAAGAAAGUGAUUUUUUUAGAUGGAAUCUACUCUUGGUGAAGAUGCUGUGAA